rnacentral:rRNA from 11 species
GUCAGGAAUCAGGUUAGGUUCCUAAAGAUACCAGAUCCUAUCUGAUCUUGGAAGCUAAGCAAGGUCAUCUCUAAUUAGCACUUGAAUGGGAACUCUCCAAGGAAUACUAGCUGCUGCAGACU